rnacentral:rRNA from 1 species
CCUACGGGUGGCUGCAGUGGGGAAUAUUGCACAAUGGGGGAAACCCUGAUGCAGCAACGCCGCGUGAGUGAAGAAGUAUUUCGGUAUGUAAAGCCCUAUCAGCAGGGAAGAUGAUGACGGUAUCUGAGUAAGAAGCACCGGCUAACUACGUGCCAGCAGCCGCGGUAAUACGGAGGGGGCAAGCGUUACUCGGAUUUACUGGGUGUAAAGGGAGCGUAGGCGGGGAGGCAAGUCUGAAGUGAAAGCCUGGGGCUCAACCCCAGGACUGCUUUGGAAACUGCCUGACUGGAGUGCUGGAGAGGCAGGCGGAAUUCCUGGUGUAGCGGUGAAAUGCGUAGAGAUUAGGAAGAACACCAGUGGCGAAGGCGGCUUGCUGGACAGUAACUGACGUUGAGGCUCGAAAGCGUGGGGAGCAAACAGGAUUAGAUACCCUUGUAGUC